GGGGGUAUAGCUCAGUUGGGAGAGCACCUGCCUUGCACGCAGGGGGUCAGGAGUUCGAAUCUCCUUAC
rnacentral:tRNA from 1 species